rnacentral:ncRNA from 1 species
GAAAAAGCGAAGAACGGUUGAAGUAGGAUCUGCUUAUCCUUUUACAGAGAGUCGAUGGCUGGUGGGAAUCGACAGGGAAUCAGAACCGAAUUACGCCCGGGAGCAUCUUCUGGUAUGAAUCAGGAGACGGUUGCACGUACAUACGCAGUCGUUAAUCAAAUGAAGUGGCACAUGUGUGCAACCAGGGUGGUACCGCGAUGAUAAAGACCUCGUCCCUUUU